GUGAACGCUGGUGGCGUGCUUAAUACAUGCAAGUCGAACGAGAACGGACAUAGCUUGCUAUGUUGUCAGCUAAGUGGCGCACGGGUGAGUAAUGUAUAGCUACAUGCCCCUUAGUGGAGAAUAACAGUUGGAAACACCUGCUAAUACUCCAUACUCCUUAAUUUCAUGAAGUUAUUAAGGGAAAGAUUUAUUGCUAAGGGAUUGGGCUAUAUGGUAUCAGCUUGUUGGUAGGGUAAAAGCCUACCAAGGCUAUGACGCCUAACUGGUCUGAGAGGACGAACAGUCACACUGGAACUGAGACACGGUCCAGACUUCUACGGAAGGCAGCAGUAGGGAAUUUUGCGCAAUGGGGGAAACCCUGACGCAGCAACGCCACGUGGAGGAUGAAAGCCUUAGGGUUGUAAACUCCUUUUAUAUGAGAAGAUUAUGACGGUAUCAUAUGAAUAAGCACCGGCUAACUCCGUGCCAGCAGCCGCGGUAAUACGGAGGGUGCAAGCGUUACUCGGAAUUACUGGGCGUAAAGAGUGCGUAGGCGUCUUAUUAAGUCAGAUGUGAAAUCUUGUGGCUCAACCAUAUAAAUUGCAUUUGAAACUGAUAAGAUAGAGUUCAGAAGAGGCAAGUGGAAUUAGUAGUGUAGGAGUAAAAUCCGUAGAUAUUACUAGGAAUACCGAAAGCGAAGGCGACUUGCUAGGAUGAUACUGACGCUGAGGCACGAAAGCGUGGGGGAGCAAACAGGAUUAGAUACCCUGGUAGUCCACGCCCUAAACGAUGAAUGCUAAUCGUUGUGGUGCUUAGACACUGCAGUGAUGCAGCUAACGCAUUAAGCAUUCCGCCUGGGGAGUACGGUCGCAAGAUUAAAACUCAAAGGAAUAGACGGGGACCCGCACAAGUGGUGGAGCAUGUGGUUUAAUUCGAAGAUACACGAAGAACCUUACCUGGCCUUGACAUUGAUAGAACCUGAUAGAGAUAUUAGGGUGCUGUUUACAGAACUUGAAAACAGGUGCUGCACGGCUGUCGUCAGCUCGUGUCGUGAGAUGUUGGGUUAAGUCCCGUAACGAGCGCAACCCUUGUCCUUAGUUACUAACGAUUCGGUCGAGAACUCUAAGGAGACUGCCUGACGAAAGCAGGAGGAAGGUGAGGAUGACGUCAAGUCAUCAUGGCCCUUACGGCCAGGGCUACACACGUGCUACAAUGAGAUAGUUAUAGCAAGAUGCAAUACCGCGAGGUGGAGCUAAUCUCUAAAAUAUCUCUCAGUUCGGAUUGCAGUCUGCAACUCGACUGCAUGAAGUUGGAAUCACUAGUAAUCGCGAAUCAGCUAUGUCGCGGUGAAUACGUUCCCGGGUCUUGUACUCACCGCCCGUCACAUCAUGGGAGUUGAUUUCAUCUGAAGCCAGAAUACCAAACUGGUUACUGUCUAUGGUGGAAUUAGCAACUGGGAUGA
rnacentral:rRNA from 1 species